rnacentral:rRNA from 1 species
UACGUGGGUGGCAAGCGUUGUUCGGAAUUACUGGGCGUAAAGGGCUCGUAGGCGGCCAACUAAGUCGGAUGUGAAAUCCCCAGGCUCAACUUGGGAACUGCAUCCGAUACUGGAUGGCUUGAAUUCGGGAGAGGGAUGCAGAAUUCCAGGUGUAGCGGUGAAAUGCGUAGAUAUCUGGAGGAAUACCGGUGGCGAAGGCGGCAUCCUGGACCGACAUUGACGCUGAUGAGCGAAAGCUAGGGGAGCAAACGGG